rnacentral:tRNA from 1 species
UACUUUAUAAUUUAAUAAAAAUAUUAAUUUUGUAAAUUAAUCAUACCUUAGGGUUAAAGUAU